UGCUGGGGAAUGCUCUGGUGUUUCUGAAGGACUUGUCCAGCUCCUUGGAAGUGCCUUCUCCUCUGAGGGACAAAAGAUGUUUUUCUGUGUCAUUGCAGGAGAUGGUAUCACUUUGGUUACUACCAUUGCAGGCAGUAGUACAGGUGAGACUAUUUAAUUGAAAAGGCUAAUGUACAGGUCAGACUGAAAUUCUGUUGGGUUUUUUCCCCUUGUUCAUUCUUGAUCUUUGUCUUCCAGUGAAAAUCUGGACUCUCUCUUUGGUUUGCUAGCUACGCUGGAUUUAGUACAGUGAGACAAGAAUUUGAUUAAGCUGCUAUAAUUUUUGUGAACUGUUUUUAAUUGACGUCUGUCUCUCUGUCCGUAUAUGCAUGUUUAAGCAAUAUGUGGAAAGUUGCCUGUGUUUGACUAAAAUCAUAUUUCAUUGUUGUAGUGACAGAACUAAUUCAGUUCUGCAGUUUCUACGACUGAAUCUUUUUACCUGAGUGGGUCUGAGCCAUAGCAUCUGUUGAGUCUGCCAGCGAGGAGCAGUGAGGUGCUGCGUCCUGUAGUGCAUCCAGCCAUGCAGGUAGACCAGAGGCAGAGAUCUGGAAAAAUCUGGAUCAUUACUGUUUCUGAGUUUAUAUUAAGUUUCUGAAUUAAACUUGACUCGUUCACUAGUACAGCAUUAUACAUAUCCCUUGGAGAAGUGUGGUUAAAUGACCGAUUCUCCUUGUGUAAAUAUAUUGCAGUAUUUAAGGUUUUGAGGUUAUUUGGAUUUUGGAUAAAAAGGAGCUCUGAAACAGCUGUUUAAUCUGGUACACUGGCUGCACUUAGUUCUGUGUUAGACUGUAAGGAAGAAGUUACAGGCAACGUAUUUUCUUCUUUUUCCUGGGUAGGGAAUUUUUUGCCUUCUCUUUGUGUGGACAGCUGCUCAGCUGCAGGUAAAAACAUUAUAGUUUAUGGGGCUGCCAGCUGGAGCCAAUUAAAAUCUAAUGGACCAGAGUUGGCACUAAAAUAUCUUAUUCUGUCCUAGCAAUGCGGAGGUUUUGUUCUGCUUAUACAGGAUUUAAAAGGUUUACAGUGUUGUUAAGAAACAAAUUUACUUUCCAUUUUGCAAACCAAGACAUGUUUGAAUUUAAAAUCUGACACAGAAAUGUUACAGUUUGGGUCUUUUAAUGAAGUCAUGUCUCUACUGAGUGUGAAGAGUUGUGAUGGAGGGACUUUCCCUGCCUGACAAUGUUCUCCCCUAAAUACAUGGGAUGGAAGCAGAGAGCUGAAUGACUUGCUUUGGUCACACCUAGGAAAAAAAGAAGGUCUUGAGAGAGGAUCUGUCUUUUAGUCCUGACUGCCUCAAGCUAAGGAAAGCCAAGACAAGACAAGGAGCUUGAGUUACAGUAUUGGAGAGUGAAAAUCAUUAUUAUUGAGAGUAACAUGGACAAAGAGAGAUGUGGAUGGGAUGUGCUGGAGGGACAGAAAAGAGAGUCAGAGCUCAGCAGGAAGAAUUGAUUUUUGGAAAAAGAAUUCAGUUCAUUUGAACUGGAAGAAGAUGUUGUUUGUUCUUGAGCAGUAUGAUUCAGGCUAGCCAAUUAGUGCAAACCUAAAGGCUUAAAAGGCUUUUUUUUUUUUUGCUGUUCCAAAAUGAAUUCUUUUCAAAGUUUGGAUUAAGAACUUUUUCACUUAGUUUUGAAAGUGGGGAGAUUUAUUUUUUUUUUUCCAAAACAUACAAUUUCACCAAUAAUGUAUGGAACAUGGCUCAUGUAGGCAAUCUUUCUAUCUAGAAAGCCUUUCUAUUUCUGUAUAUACUUUUAUAUUAUACAAUCAUAGAAUAGUAAGGGUUGGAAAGGACCUUAAGAUCAUCUAGUUCCAACCCCCCUGCCAUGGGCAGGGACACCUCGCACUAAACCAUGUCACCCAAGGCUCUGUCCAGCCUGGCCUUGAACACUGCCAGGGAUGGAGCAUUCACAAUUUCCUUGGGCAACUCAUUCCAGUGCUUCACCACCCUCACUGUAAAGAACUUCUUCCUUAUAUCUAAUCUAAACUUCCUCUGUUUAAGUUUGAAGUCAUUCCCUCGUAUCCUACCACUACAGUCCCUAAUGAAGAGUCCCUCCCCAGCAUCCUUGUAGGCCCCUUUCAGAUACUGGAAGGCUGCUAUGAGGUCACCAUGCAGCCUUCUCUUCUCCAGGCUGAACAGCCCCAACUUUCUCAGCCUGUCUUCAUACAGGAGGUGCUCCAGCCCUCUCAUCAUCCUCAUGGCCCUCCUCUGGACUUGCUUCAACAGCUCCAUGACCUUUUUAUGUUGAGGACACCAGAACUGUAUGCAGUACUCCAAGUGAGGUCUCACGAGAGCAGAGUAGAGGGGCAGGAUCACCUCCUUGGAGCUGCUGGCCACGCUUCUUUUGAUGCAGCCCAGGAUACGGUUGGCUUUCUGGGCUGCAAGCGCACACUGCUGGCGCAUGUUAAGCUUCUCAUCAACCAACACCCCCAAGUCCUUUUCUGCAGGGCUGCUCUGAAUCUCUUCUCUGCCCAACCUGUAGCAGUGCCUGGGAUUGCCCUGGCCCAGGUUGGGGUUAUACUAUACUAUAAUACUUUUUUAUUUCUUAAGUGCAUUUCACUUCGUGUAUUCAGUGAAAACAUUUGAUCAGUCGAUGACCAAGGUACGUGUGAUAAACAGGAAUUCAAUUGCUUGUCAUUGUUUCUCCACAUUCUUAAAGGUUCUUCAGAGCACAACAGAUACCCUGAUAACGGGUACAAAAGUAAUCCUGUAGAUGAAUGAAAAAGGAAGGAGACGAUUCUUAAGGCAUGAGCCUGGAGUAUAAUGUCCCAUAGUUUCUGCAAACAAGCAGGCUCUGCAUUUGAAAGACUGGUGUGAAUAGCGGUCAUUUGAAAGUGGUCAUUGAAGAAGUGGUCAGAAACUCAGACCUGAUUUCUCUGUUUCACUGUUCAUGAGGUAGAUCUAAGCUGCUUUUAAACAUUCUGCCAUUUAUUCAAAGAGUCAUGUACUCGAAGACUGGUCAACAUGGCUGAUUUUAAUUCUGAACUGACUAGUUUUGACUCAGAAAUGGGUUAUUUCAUGCACGUGUUCAUGUUGUGGGUGGUUAAGUUGCUGUAGAAGGAAGUAAAGAGGACUGGGAGGGGAAUAAAAGAGCAUGAGAAAUAAUUGAGUUCAGAGAUACUUGUAUGAAACAGAUUAUACAGCAGAACUGUGUGUUUGGAUGAGGUGCUUCAGAAUGUCAGGGGAGGGUCACAAAAUCUAGGGUGUGUCUAGUCUAAUGGUAGCCACAGACAGUUGAAGUUUGUCUUGCUUUGACUUGUCACAGUGGUUCCUGGGUGACUAGUCUUUUUGUAGAUGAAGUACUUUCCACUGCUCUUGGGAUGUAGGCAUUUAUUUGCUGUCUUGACUAAAUGCCAACCUCUGAUCAGCUUGAGGCACAUUUACUGUUAGACCACUUGGAGGUGAAGAUGCAGCUCUCGGAGAACUGUCCUCGGAGGAAUGAGACCGGGGCCAGGACUAAUUUAGUCCUAAUUUCCAUGUGUUGUUUCCUCCCUUCCCCCCUGUGAAUUUUCCUUUUCUAAAGCCUUUGGGAACCAUUUCUAUCUGUUUUUGCGAAAAUAAGUUAAUGGAAUUAGAAGUAGUUUUGUAGGUCUUUACACAGUUAAAACUAUGUAGUUUUCCUGCUUAUGAUAUAUUCAGCUCCCUUCAUUACUGAAACCAAGGGUUUAAAUAGAACUGGAGAUCAUACAGCUGUAGGGUGGUCCUCGAGCACAGGACUGAUAUAUGCUCUCAUUGGAAAUACAUUUCCAAUUGGAAACCAUUGGAAAUACUGCAGAGGUGAAGUUGUUAUGCCUUUAUCGCAGCUAAAGCGCUUCCCUCUCUGAACUUGUCAAUGUGUCACUUAUAACAGGCAUUAAAUUUAAUAUUUGGAGGGACACACCACUUCAAAAUAUUAAUAAAAGCUUCAUAAUGUUAAAGAGAGAGAUAUCACAUAAUCGGAGAAUGAAUGUAGACUUUUUUUGGCUGCUCUUCAGGCAGGAGAUUUAUUAGAAGAACUGUAGUACUCUAAUUCCUAAUCCAUCUCCUCUCCCCCAGUUUGCAGAAAGUUACUCCAUUUGCCUCUCUCUCUAAGGAGUGCCCUUGAAAUGGGAUCUUUUCUAUGUACGUGUUUUUCAGAGAACAUUGUGGAGGAAAAGGAAGAAGCAGCCAAUCCAAAUCAGAAUAUGGGUGAUUCAUAGUAAGAACUGUUAAGGCUGUAAAAAAAUCCAACAAACCCUGGUCAGGAUUCUAAUGGAUUGGCAUAUCUCCUUCCACAUCAAUAAAUUUGUCACUGGUGAAAGUGUUUAUUCCUUCGCAGUCGUAUGAUUUAUGCUGGACUUUUUGUACUGCAUAUGUGGACCUAUAGCUCGUCCUCAAACAGUAGAUGAACUCUGACUAAUAGAUCCUAGUGACUAUCCUGCAGUUUAUGCAGGAUUAGUAUUUUAAAAGGGUAGUGUGCAUGAUUUAAGCAGGAUUUGAGUAUAUAGCAAUGGUUUGUCCUUUGCUGUCAGCAAAGCCAUCCGAAGUUCAUUUCUUUAAAGAAGCUCCAGGCCAAAUGUCAGAAAAAAUUAAAUCAAGCAGUGAUGUAGUUCCGUAGGGAAAAUGUAUUUCAAUUGUGAGGUAUUCAUGGAUAUAAUAUGUCAUCCUGUAGUCUGUGACUGUUGGGUGUACUUGCAGGCAACAUGGCUUGGUAAUUGCUAUUUGUUAAGAAAUUUGGCUCUGAUAAAAAAUGACCUGCCAGAGAGAGAGACAGUUUUGUUAAUUUUAUUUAUGAGACUUUCAUCAAAAUCGGAAGGAUGUGUGUAUGUGGUGGCAAAUCCUCCAUGAUACAGCAUCUUUUAUUAAAGAACGUUGGUUUUGUCUUCCAGCAAGGAGGUACCAUAAUCACUUAGAGCUUUGUCUUCUGCCAUCUGAGAAACGAGUUGGACACAAGCCACUUAUUUUGCUCAGCCACCAACAUUUUGCUACCCAAUUCGCCCUUCCUGAGGGCAAGUGUAAGCAAAUUUUCUGUCUUCCCAACAGAUGUGGGACAAAGCUCGGCUUGUCGGAUCAGCCUGGAUCCAAACCUGGAAAGAAUUAACUUUACCCUCUGUAGUUUUGUUUUCAUAGAGAGUUUCUUUUUUUUUCCCUGGCAUAUUCUAAAUAAAACAAACCAGACCUUUACAGUUGAGGUUAUUCUUUAGUGUGGAUACCUGACCCAGGAGCAAGAUUGUGUAGGUCAUAAUUGGAGGUCUGGCAAACUGAGAUGGAGCCACAAACUGCCUUUGCAUGAGACACUUCCCUGCCCAUGCUGUUCUGUUAGCUUAUUCUCCAAGCUUUUCUGGGGGCAUAGGGGCUUGGAGUGGUUUUCUUCAUCAUCUUUAAUUACAGAUGGGUUAACUUUGUGCUGUCAGUAGCAGUAAGUACUGAUGUGUAGCAUUCAAAUGUCCAAGCCAUUCUUAGCCCUGUUAUUUGCUUACUAUGAAGCAUUACAUGUGGAGCGCACACAUAAUUUAGGAAGAGAAUUUUUUCAGAUGCAAAUGGACAUUUAAAUCAGAAGAAGCUGAUGCACAUUUGAUAGCAGCACCCUUCCAGAAUGAAAAGAUUUGUCACCUAUGAUUCUAUUGAAUGGUUAAGGAACAAUAAUAGACCUGCUCCCUCAGCUGGCCAAAAUCAUUGUAUUGCUUUGGGCUUUGAGCAACCCUCUGACAUUAAUGAUCUAACCCAGCAUUGUUCCUAUAUCUGAGAAAGAGAGUAAUGAAGCCACAUCUCAUGGAUCUAUUUUAAGGAUGUGAGAAAUGGAAAGGGCCAGAUUCUGCUUCAGCUUCUGCCACUCUAAGUCCAGAAGAGAUGAAUUAAAAACCUAAAGUAAUUUUAAGCAGAACACUUGUGUUGUUCCGCAGUAACACUUCCCUAGCCGGAAGCUUAAAACCAAUGACAGAAAAAGAUUGAAUCAUAAGAAUUUCUGAAUAGUUUCAUUGUGUGCCAGCACAAUGCAUGAGAUGUGCUGGGUAAGGAAAUAGGUUGCAUGGAGUUUCAAAUAGGAAAAAGCCCUCUUGUAGUUAACCCUUUAGAGUCUGCAGACAGGGCAGCUGUAGGUAGGAAAACUAAGGAUGGGCUGUCACCAGACAGGUUCGUCUGGCCCUUGCAUGUCUUGCAAGGCAGUCCUUUUGGAGAACAUAUUAUUAUUCAUAGUCUAUCUGCAAAAUAAUUCUUUUCACAUCAGAUUCAGCUUUGUUUAUCAUAUUUUGUGUGGAUCUGUUGAAUUAAAAGACCCAUCUAAAGGAAGACAAAGUUUUUGUUGUAUCCUUUAGUAUUCGUUCUUCUUGUGUGUCUUGGAAGAAUCACAGAUACCUUGGGGUCUGUUGGAACUAAAGUACUUUGGGAGACAGUUAACCAAUGCCUCUUCACUGGAGAGGAGGUUGGUUGACAGAUCAAAAGUGCAUCUUUCCCAUAAUAGUGAGCAAAAGAUUUUAAUCAGGCUGUCCGUAUGACCGUAAAGAGAUGAUCUCUUUUCUGGGGAGUCAAGGCUGAUUUUGAAUUAAUUGAAUCUUUCCAAAUUGAGUUUCAUUAAUGGUGGCUUUCCUUUGUUAUAUUGCUGUUUUCAGUGCUUUUAGUAGUUUUUCUCCAAGUCUGCGUCAUACUGUGUCACCCACAGAUAUCAGUUUAAACGAUUUAGAUUUCAAAUGAAGAUGUUACAUAAACCUAGAGUUACUAAGAGCAUGGAAGCCUGUCUGUUGAUUAAUUUCUUAUAUGAAUGCUUUAUAUAUUUCUUAUAGAAAUGCUUUUCUAAACAGCGGUACUGUCUAUUUAGACCAAUACCUAGUGUUCAUAGCUCUUGGGGGAAUAAGCAUUCACUUCCAUCCUUUCUUCCACAGGCUCUUCUUUAUUUUGUUUCCUACCAGUUUUCCUGUCUCCUGUGUUAUUGCUGCCUGCGGUAUUUUAAUCCUUUGGUUUGUAUCCUUUCCAUUUAUUUCCCUCCAUUGCAACCAAUAAUUACUCAGUUUUUCCUAGAUAGUAAACUUCCUCAGCUUUUUCCUUAGUCCUUUCAUUUUUUUCCUAUGCUCUUUCUUUUUGUUUAUUGAGAGAUUCUUUCCUCUAUCUCGGUUAUAUUUUAUGCAGAUAGAAUGGGGAAUAUAUUUGCAUUAUCUUGGUUAUACUGGACAUGAGAUGGUGCUUGUAGUAGCUGUUACCUCUUGUGCAGUUGUUCAGCAAUACCUGCAGGUAUUUCCUUCCUUUUUAGAGACUCAUUCUAAAGAGGAGUCUUUUGAGUCUCAGCCUGUUGGCCCUGGCUGAGGCUCUGAGAGAUGGGAGCUCUCACUGAAGCUAGUAAGAAAAAGUUUAGAGGCAAAGAAAAGCAUGAUCUGCAAUUGGUAAAUUAAGCAAUUUGCUGAAGAAGACUGAAGACAGUACAGUUGUUGGCAGUGGUGAUUCCUACUCAUUCUUCUUUGACAAAGCUAUUUAUGCUGGUGUUGUCAAAUGGUGUUUUAGGUACAUUGGCCUUCUUGGAGUCACAGGGAUCUCCCACGCAUGUACCAUCAGCUCCUGACCUGAAUUUGCUUAUGGGAGGUGAGGAGAGCAGAGCCCAGACCCAGCUUGUGCUGCAGAUGGCAGUGACAGCUAUACCAGCUCCUCUCAAAUCAGUGAGACCUAGCUGCCCAGGCCUGCAGCUUCCUAUUUCCUUGCAUUUAUCCUUUGAAAAGUGCAGUUAAAGUUUUUAGACUCAUUUAUGUAGUUUGGUGCAUAAUGGUAAAUACGCUUUUUUACAGAAGCCAUUUGUAGUACAAUGGUUAUGUAGCACUUUUAUUUCUGAAGACUUCAGAGAUUCUUUCCGGGCCAUAUGACUCACAACUUUGAAGUCACUGAGCAAAGGGUCAAGCCCUUCUUCACUCAAUAGAUGCUUUCAGCUCCAAGUGCUACUAGUACAUUCAGGGCUAAAAAUCUUCUCUAUUGAAACAGCUGUAGCUUCAAAAUGUCGGGAAGCUGCAUUAACGCUUCAUUUCCUGCAGUGAAUCAUUUUGCUUAUGAAAGUAAAAGAGUUAGGGACAUUUAGGGCAAAAAAAAAAAAAAGAA
rnacentral:lncRNA from 1 species